AAGACAGCUGGAUGAUAGCCGGGCUGAAGACUCUGCUUGACUAGCUGAGAGGAGGUGCAUGGCCGUCGUCAGUUCGUACUGUGAAGCAUCCUGUUAAGUCAGGCAACGAGCGAGACCCACGCCAACAGUUGCCAGCAUGUCCUCCGGGAUGGUGGGGACACUGUUGGGACCGCCUCUGCUAAAGAGGAGGAAGGAAUGGGCAACGGUAGGUCAGCAUGCCCCGAAUUAUCCGGGCUACACGCGGGCUACAAUGGUCAGGACAAUGGGCAUCAACACCGAAAGGUGAAGGCAAUCUCUUAAACCUGUCCUUAGUUCGGAUUGUGGGCUGCAACUCGCCCACAUGAAGCUGGAAUCUGUAGUAAUCGUGUUUCAAAAUAGCACGGUGAAUAUGUCCCUGCUCCUU
rnacentral:rRNA from 1 species